GACGAACGCUGGCGGCGUGCUUAACACAUGCAAGUCGAACGGAAAGGCCCUGCUUUUGUGGGGUGCUCGAGUGGCGAACGGGUGAGUAACACGUGAGUAACCUGCCCUUGACUUUGGGAUAACUUCAGGAAACUGGGGCUAAUACCGGAUAGGAGCUCCUGCUGCAUGGUGGGGGUUGGAAAGUUUCGGCGGUUGGGGAUGGACUCGCGGCUUAUCAGCUUGUUGGUGGGGUAGUGGCUUACCAAGGCUUUGACGGGUAGCCGGCCUGAGAGGGUGACCCGCCACAUUGGGACUGAGAUACGGCCCAGACUCCUACGGGAGGCAGCAGUGGGGAAUAUUGCACAAUGGGCGGAAGCCUGAUGCAGCAACGCCGCGUGCGGGAUGACGGCCUUCGGGUUGUAAACCGCUUUCGCCUGUGACGAAGCGUGAGUGACGGUAAUGGGUAAAGAAGCACCAGCUAACUACGUG
rnacentral:rRNA from 1 species